CCACGCGCAACGAAAAAGCUCACCGCCACACAGCUUCCAGCACUCGAACCAAUAUAAGCAAAACACAUUUGAAAAUGUGUUUUGGCUGUUUUUGUAGGUUUAAGAAGACUUCAUUUUUCUGACCAUUCAAGCAAACAAACACGAAUUCAGCCGCUGCUUUAAUGCCCUCUGACCAGAGGAGCUGGUUUUGCCACCGAGUUAACUGUCAGUGCUGCAAGGUCAGUGGCCUGUGAUCAUGUUUGUAGCAGGUUUGGCUUGGAUUUGGUGAGACAGCCAGCAAACCUGGGAGAUUAUGAAACCGUGAACCAGCCCUGGGAAGUGUAGUCAAGUUUCAAUUUGGGGGUUUCUCCGGGUGAGGGAAUCCUGCGGGCUCCAUUUCUACCAGGAUCACAAACGCAGGUGCAGUUCGGCCGCCGCAUGCUGCCUGGCGGGAGAAACGCGCACAAACCGCAGACGCGUGCUCGCGUACUGGCCACUAGCUCGGGGCACGCCCGUGUUAUUUACACCCUGCUCAGGCGGUGGGCGGGGGAGGCUCUCAUUUGUUACUUUAAACUCGCGGGGAGGAACUGUAAGCUGCCGUGGCGGGACUGGCAGGCAGGGAGGGGGGCACCCCCCGCUCGGCUCCAGGGGCGUGACGCUGCUGCUGCCCUCCGCCCCUGGCUUCCACCCUGUUUGCGUGGCCACAAGAUCAGCGGUGGACCAGCGUGGCCGGGCCCCAGGAGCCCUAGCACGGGCCUACCGCCCCCUACUUCUCCCCCACUCCCCACCCCUUCAUACGCCUGUGAGACCGGCUUACCCUGGUGGGCGAGUCGCGGCGCAUUAGCGGAUUUCAUGGCAAGUUGCUUCUGUGACAUGAGAUCAGACAGGGACCGGAUGGCCUCCUGCCCGAAGACUUUCUCUGCAGCCGGGCCUGGAGCAGGAGGGUCAGCCGGGCUGCAACCGGGCCCGCGGAUUCCUGCAAGGUCGCGGGACGAGAGGUGCGUGGAGGAUAGACCUCGGGCUUGGCGCCCAGCGGCCCCCCUAGGCGCCCAGGGUCUGAGCCAGACGCACAAGCCCAAAUUCCCUCCAGCUUCUUCCGCUCCAUCUUUAAGUCCAGGCAAAGAUCAAUUCCCUCUCUCUCUUGCACACACACAUUUGCAGCCAUAA